rnacentral:rRNA from 1 species
UCUUGGUCAAUUUAGAGGAAGUAAAAGUCGUAACAAGGUUUCCGUAGGUGAACCUGCGGAAGGAUCAUUAAUGAAACUUCAAAGUCGGCUUGGUCGUCUGUGCUGGUGGAGACACAUGUGCACGUCGACACAGUCGCAAACCCCACACACCUGUGCAUCUAUGACUCUGAGUACCGCUUGCAUGGGCCGUCAAACACCCUGGUACUCGAGUAACUUUCACACACUCUGAAUGUAAUGGAAUGUCUAUUGUACAAUGUACAACCAAAAACAACUUUCAACAACGGAUCUCUUGGCUCUCGCAUCGAUGAAGAACGCAGCGAAAUGCGAUAAGUAAUGUGAAUUGCAGAAUUCAGUGAAUCAUCGAAUCUUUGAACGCACCUUGCACCCUUUGGUAUUCCGAAGGGUACACCCGUUUGAGUGUCAUUGUAAUCUCACUACAACCGCUUUUUUGUGGUUGCAUGUGGACUUGGAUGUUGCCGUGUCACAAACGGCUCGUCUGAAAUGCCUGAGUGUACCCCUGCUUUGCGGCGUAUUCGGUGUGAUAAAUCUUCACCGGAGUUGACCCUCAGGGUCACGUCUGCUUGACAUGGCUCUAUGCUUCCAACUGUCCUGACAAGACAAUCUUUGACAAUUUGACCUCAAAUCGGGUGGGACUACCCGCUGAACUUAAGCAUAUCAAUAAGCGGAGGAA